CUUUCUCUCUCCUCCCGCCGCCCAAGAUGCCGAAAGGAAAGAAGGCCAAGGGAAAGAAGGUGGCUCCGGCCCCUGCUGUCGUGAAGAAGCAGGAGGCUAAGAAAGUGGUGAAUCCCCUGUUUGAGAAAAGGCCUAAGAAUUUUGGCAUUGGACAGGACAUCCAGCCCAAAAGAGACCUCACCCGCUUUGUGAAAUGGCCCCGCUAUAUCAGGUUGCAGCGGCAGAGAGCCAUCCUCUAUAAGCGGCUGAAAGUGCCUCCUGCGAUUAACCAGUUCACCCAGGCCCUGGACCGCCAAACAGCUACUCAGCUGCUUAAGCUGGCCCACAAGUACAGACCAGAGACAAAGCAAGAGAAGAAGCAGAGACUGUUGGCCCGGGCCGAGAAGAAAGCUGCUGGCAAAGGGGACGUCCCCACGAAGAGACCACCUGUCCUUCGAGCAGGAGUUAACACCGUCACCACCUUGGUGGAGAACAAGAAAGCUCAGCUGGUGGUGAUUGCACACGACGUGGAUCCCAUCGAGGUGCGUUUGCCUGUUGACUGCUAACCCAAGGGCUUCUGGCAGUACCAGGAAAAGAGUAGACCUAAUGCCAAGUCAGUGAUGGGACCAAAGUGGGUGAGGGCAGUACUAACACAGAUCCAACACAUGCGUGGCUCUUGCAAUGAUGUGAAUCUCUCACUGAAUUCAACCUUGAAGUGCGAAUCCAUGAGCUUUUUAACCCUGAGCAAUUGUUACAAGCUAACUGAAAUUUACUGCUUUUGGUUAAAAUAGUCUUCAGCUAAUGCUUUCUUCCAGCUGGUUGUCUUCUUGCCUGCCCUGUGUCGUAAAAUGGGGGUCCCUUACUGCAUUAUCAAGGGGAAGGCAAGACUGGGACGUCUAGUCCACAGGAAGACUUGCACCACUGUGGCCUUCACACAGGUGAACUCUGAAGACAAAGGCGCUUUGGCUAAGCUGGUGGAAGCUAUCAGGACCAAUUACAACGACAGAUAUGAUGAGAUCCGCCGUCACUGGGGCGGCAACAUCCUGGGUCCUAAGUCUGUGGCUCGUAUCGCCAAGCUCGAAAAGGCAAAGGCUAAAGAACUUGCCACUAAACUGGGUUAAAUGUACACUGUUGAGUUUUCUGUACAUAAAAAUAAUUAAAAUAAUACAAAUUUUCCUUCA
rnacentral:sRNA from 1 species